CUAGCAGCAGCCUCUUCUGCCAUCUUCCUCCAUUCCAUGGCUUUCUUCUUCAUUUGUUUACCCUUGUCUGAAUCCAUUAACUCUAUCACAAGGCUUUCAACUUCAUCUCUCUUCACAUUAGUGUUUAUCUCCAUGCCUAUGCCCCAUUCCUUGCAACUGUAUCGGCAAUUGGUUUGUUGCUCCGCGAAGAAAGGCCAGCAAAUCAUAGGCACUCCUCCACAAAUACUUUCAAGAGUAGAGUUCCAUCCACUGUGUGUUAAGAAUCCUCCAAUAGACGGGUGGCUUAUUACUUGUUCCUGGGAGCACCAGCCUGCUAGAAGACCUCUUUCUUUAGUCACUGUCACAAACUCUGGUGGGAGAACCGCGGUAUCCCCAGCAACAAGGUCAGGCCUAAUGACCCACAAAAAAGUUUUGUUGCUAUUAGCAAGUCCCCAAGCA
rnacentral:misc_RNA from 1 species